rnacentral:rRNA from 1 species
AAUCAACGCUGGCGGCGUGCCUCAGACAUGCAAGUCGAACGAGAACCUCCCUUCGGGGAGGGGACAGUGGCGCACGGGUGAGUAACACGUGGGUAAUUUACCUUUGGGUGGGGAACAACAGCCGGAAACGGCUGCUAAUACCGCAUAAUGCAGCGGCUCGACAUCGAGACAGUUGUUAAAGCGGGGGAUCGCAAGACCUCGCGCCUGAAGAGAAGCCUGCGGCGGAUUAGCAGUUGGUAGGGUAAUGGCCUACCAAGGCGACGAUCUGUAACCGGCCUGAGAGGGCGGUCGGUCACACUGACACUGACAUACGGGUCAGACUCCUACGGGAGGCAGCAGUCGGGAAUUUUGAGCAAUGGGCGAAAGCCUGACCCAGCAACGCCGCGUGAAGGAUGAAGCUUUCGGAGUGUAAACUUCAUAAGAAUGGGAAGAAUAAGUGCGGGAUAAUACCCUUCACGAUGACGGUACCAUUUGUAAGCUCCGGCUAACUCCGUGCCAGCCGCCGCGGU